rnacentral:misc_RNA from 1 species
UCUAAUGAGGUGCAGCAAUGGG